UGUAUUGCAUAGUUGUAGAGAUUGGAUUUCAUUCAAAACCCACCAAAUGACUCCUCCCUCCGUAUUAUGAUGUUCCCCAAGUUUUGGACUCAAUCCGAUAUCGAUUGGUCCAUGAAAUUGGACAAUUCAGGUUCGUAUGAAGUUUUUUCUGAAAUGGGGUGGUUGGUGUAUCCAUAGUUCUCGAGAUUGGAUUUCACUCAAAACCC
rnacentral:lncRNA from 1 species